rnacentral:misc_RNA from 1 species
GUUCCAAUGCUAAUGUCUGGUGGUGAUGAUACAAAGCUGUUUGCAUACUCUGCUCAGGAAUUUACAAAAUUUUCUCCCCAUGAUAUAUGUCCUGCGCCACAAAGGGUGCCUAUGCAACUUGUACUUAAUACAGUUUUCAACCAAGCACCGUUGUUACUUGUUCAGGCUUCUCACUCUCUGGACAUCCUGUGCAUUCGCCCAAAAAGUGAUUCCUUUGGAGAUAAGGCUUGUGGCCCUUCUAAGGGACAUACAAAG